UGCCAGACUCCUACGGGAGGCAGCAGUGAGGAAUAUUGGUCAAUGGCCGAGAGGCUGAACCAGCCAAGUCGCGUGAGGGAAGACGGUCCUACGGGUUGUAAACCUCUUUUGUCGGGGAGCAAAGCGAACCACGUGUGGUUCAUUGAGAGUACCCGAAGAAAAAGCAUCGGCUAACUCCGUGCCGGCAGCCGCGGUAAUACGGAGGAUGCGAGCGUUAUCCGGAUUUAUUGGGUUUAAAGGGUGCGCAGGCGGAGGUGCAAGUCAGCGGUCAAAUUGCGGGGCUCAACCCCGUACUGCCGUUGAAACUGGCUUGCUAGAGUGGGCGAGAAGUAUGCGGAAUGCGUGGUGUAGCGGUGAAAUGCAUAGAUAUCACGCAGAACUCCGAUUGCGAAGGCAGCAUACCGGCGCCCAACUGACGCUCAGGCACGAAAGCGUGGGUAUCGAACAGGAUUAGAUACCCUCGUAAA
rnacentral:rRNA from 1 species